GAGGAAUAUUGGUCAAUGGGCGAGAGCCUGAACCAGCCAAGUAGCGUGCAGGACGACGGCCCUAUGGGUUGUAAACUGCUUUUGUAUGGGGAUAAAGUCAAUCACGUGUGAUUGUUUGCAGGUACCAUACGAAUAAGGACCGGCUAAUUCCGUGCCAGCAGCCGCGGUAAUACGGAAGGUCCGGGCGUUAUCCGGAUUUAUUGGGUUUAAAGGGAGCGUAGGCUGGAGAUUAAGUGUGUUGUGAAAUGUAGACGCUCAACGUCUGACUUGCAGCGCAUACUGGUUUCCUUGAGUACGCACAACGUUGGCGGAAUUCGUCGUGUAGCGGUGAAAUGCUUAGAUAUGACGAAGAACUCCGAUUGCGAAGGCAGCUGACGGGAGCGCAACUGACGCUGAAGCUCGAAGGUGCGGGUAUCGAACAGGAUUAGAUACCCUGGUAGUCCGCACAGUAAACGAUGGAUGCCCGUUGUUAGUUCACUUAAGAAUUAGCGACCAAGCGAAAGCAUUAAGCAUCCCACCUGGGGAGUACGCCGGCAACGGUG
rnacentral:rRNA from 1 species